UAUGGAAGCCUUGGAGGGUCACUUUUGAGUUUCGACUUACGGAUAUUUUACUUUUGACUUUCGACUUUUGACUUUUGAUUUGUGACUUACGUCUUAUGACUUUUGGCUAACCCAUUUUACACGUGCUCUAGAAGCUGAAAGCAGCAACUUUGGUUUCAGACACAACUACUGGACAAAAGGUAACGAGGAUGAAAACCUUGAUGUUGAUCUGUGUCUUCAUCAUUAUACUGUUCAUCAUUACCAAAGCUACCGUGCCAAGAUACCUACCCACAAUAUCUAUAACAAACAAAACUCUGCUGAUAAUAGAGUACUUUCCGGUACAGCAUGGCAUUACGACGUCAUUUAGUACAGUGAAUAGACUUUUUAAACGCUUAAAUUUAAAACGGCGUAAUGGAAUAUAUACUCCUUUUGAGACUGUGUCUGAUGUUAUAAACAGAGAAAUACAAACAAAUGGACAACGCAUAGAAUACCGUACAAUAUGGCGUAGGUUAAUGCUGAAUUACCACAUGUACGUCAAGGGAGACGACGUCAUGGAAAUAAUGGGAGCGCUUGAUCCGGAUGGUAUUGAGAUGCGGAAAGCUCAUCGCUUAUGCCGACGCGUAUACUACGCCAUGACAUAUGGACGGUUAAGACAAACUUAAACCAUAAGGAUUUUAUAUCCAUGGUGCUGUGAAUGGGUAUAAACAUGGUUAGAGGUUUUGGACUCAAAUAACGACCCAAAGACUUAAGCGAUACUUGUGUAUUUAAUGAUCUGGAUCCGAUACAAUGUGAGAACUUAAAAUUUUGCUUCAUGGACCUCAUACAAACCGAGUUUGAUCGGAUUGCACAUGAAAUAAGGCAACAAAAAAGUUCUUCUGUUAUUUGUGGUAAACCUGACACACUGUUUUUUGUACCAGGUCUGUAUGAAACUCACGACUUCGGCAAUGCAGUUAACUUGAGAGACGUAUAUAUUUGCAAAGAACAUGUUUUCACGCCCAAAAAGACAAUGUGAGGAAUUCAUAGAAUUAGCACCCCUUCUUAAGGCAGAUCUACAGAUGCCAUUGGACGCUGAUUCAGCACUACAACUGUGUACCGAGUUGAAAGAUUUAAUUUUGAGAAUAGAUUUAAUAUAAAUACGCUUUGAAACGACUAAUACUGAUUUUUUUCGUGUUAUUGAUAUAUACUAGGUUACUAUAGGUUAAGUUUCAAAAAAUGAUGUUUUAAAAUCAUAAAGACGAUAGUCUACGAUUUCACUUCAUUAUAUGGUUGUUUUAAGAUAUUGGUUUGUAAAUAUUGAGCAAAUUACAAUAUAUUUGUAAAUUAUCAUUUAAGUUAUAACCACUCUAAUUUGCACUAUAAGGCAUUGUAAAAUUGACAACAUUGUUUAGUGGUAUACCUAAAGGACACCUGUAUGCAAAAUUUAAGCAAAAUUUACCGUACGGAUUUGGAGUAGUAGGCAUUUAAAAAAUAUAUACAUGUAUUGAAAGUCUAAAAAAAAAAAUCCGUGUAAUCUCAUUUAAACAUGUUUUGCAAGUGUUGUUUGUUUAGAUGCAAAAAAUAACAUUCUAGUAAUAAACUAUGCAUGUUAAAUGCAUGACUAUUCUCGACACGAUAGAAAUAUGCAUGGUAUUGUUUCUCUACCCCACCAAUUUGAACAUUUUUUUAUCAUAUCCUUCUAAACUUAAAAAAUCACUUAAAUUACAUUAAGUCAAAAGGCUUGUAUCAAUUUGCUAAAUUCUUUCUAGAAGUAUAUUGAUUCAUUCUGUGAAAUAUGGACGGCUUUUACCGGCUAGUUUGUAAUAUAUAAAGCAUUGAAAAUGUUAUAAUUGUAAUUUGCUCUUAGAUUUUUUUAGCAUUAAUUAGGCAAUGAAUAUCUGUAAAAAAAUUAUAAUAAUAGAAAACGUGCAUAUUUUUCCAUCUUAAUAUAGCUAGAAAAAUCUAAACACAUUUAUUGUACAAGUUAAUUGUCCUUUUAAAGAUUUCCAACUCAGCAGCCUGUAAAUAUUAAUUUGUAAAGUUUUUACAUCACAAUAUAUGUAUGUGCAAUUUUGUGACUUUUUACGUAAAAUACA